UUUGCGGAAUAAAAUAAAUCAAGCUUAUAAUUCUGGAGACUCACGUGCAAUAUAUGCAGGAGGAUCUAUAAAUAUCGAGGAGCAUUCACGUAGAUUGUCUAGGGAUUUGGGAAAAGAGCCCGAUUUUAUAGACACUUUCGUCCGCACUUUUCAAAAAAAAAGACAAGACUUGGAGUGGAGAUAGAGCUAGAAUAAUUAAGGAGAGAUAUGAUGAGCUAUCAUUAUCUCAAAGAAGUUCAGGUGAUGGUGAUAAUAUUGAGGGAUCUGAGCCGUCUGUUACUAAUAAUUUAGAUUUAUGGUUAGAGGCCAGUGGGGGAGUCAAAGGGGGAAGGAUAAU